ACUGCGUCAGUAACACGUGGAUAACCUGCCCUUAGGACUGGCAUAACCCCGGGAAACUGGGGAUAAUUCCGGAUAGUUCAUGGUAGCUGGAAUGCUCCAUGAUCGAAAGCUAUUGCGCCUAAGGAUGGGUCUGCGGUCUAUCAGGUAGUAGUGGGUGUAAUGUACCUACUAGCCGACGACGGAUACGGGUUGUGGGAGCAAGAGCCCGGAGAUGGAUUCUGAGACAUGAAUCCAGGCCCUACGGGGCGCAGCAGGCGCGAAAACUUUACAAUGCGGGAAACCGCGAUAAGGGGACACCGAGUGCCAGCAUCUUAUGUUGGCUGUCCGCAUGUAUAAAUCACAUGUGUUAGCAAGGGCCGGGCAAGACCGGUGCCAGCCGCCGCGGUAACACCGGCGGCCCGAGUGGUGGCCACUAUUAUUGGGUCUAAAGGGUCCGUAGCCGGUUUGGUCAGUCUUCCGGGAAAUCUGACGGCUUAACCGUUAGGCUUUCGGGGGAUACUACCAGGCUUGGGACCGGGAGAGGUAAGAGGUACUACGGGGGUAGGAGUGAAAUCUUGUAAUCCUCGUGGGACCACCAGUGGCGAAGGCGUCUUACCAGAACGGGUCCGACGGUGAGGGACGAAAGCUGGGGGCACGAACCGGAUUAGAUACCCGGGUAGUCCCAGCCGUAAACUAUGCUCGCUAGGUGUCAGGGACGGUGCGACCGUUUCUGGUGCCGCAGGGAAGCCGUGAAGCGAGCCACCUGGGAAGUACGGUCGCAAGGCUGAAACUUAAAGGAAUUGGCGGGAAUCACUAGUGCG
rnacentral:rRNA from 1 species